UACAGAGGUCCCAAGCGUUACUGAGAAUCACUGGGUUUAAAGGGUGCGUAGGUGGUCCGUUAAGUCAGUUGUGAAAUCCCCGGGCUCAACCCGGGAACUGCUUCUGAUACUGGCGGACUUGAGGCCAGUAGGGGUCACUAGAACUGACGGUGGAGCGGUGAAAUGCGUAGAUAUCGUCAGGAAUGCCGGUGGUGAAGACGGGUGACUGGGCUGGUUCUGACACUGAGGCACGAAAGCGUGGGGAUCAAACAGG
rnacentral:rRNA from 1 species